rnacentral:rRNA from 1 species
AUAGCGUAUAUUAAAGUUGUUGCAGUUAAAAAGCUCGUAGUUGAAUUUCCGGGCCCGGCCAGACGGUCUGCCGCAAGGUGUGUAUCGUCGGACGGGCUUGACCUUUUUCCGAAGACUGUGCGUGCUCUUCACUGAGUUGCGUACGGGACUCGGGACUUUUACUUUGAAAAAAUUAGAGUGUUCAAAGCAGGCAUUUCGCUUGAAUACAUUAGCAUGGAAUAAUGGAAUAGGACUUUGGUCUUAUUUUGUUGGUUUCUAGGACCGAAGUAAUGAUUGAUAGGGACAGUUGGGGGCAUUAGUAUUUAAUUGUCAGAGGUGAAAUUCUUGGAUUUAUGAAAGACUAACUUCUG